GUGGAUUAGAUACCCUGGUAGUCCACGCCGUAAACGAUGGAUGCUAGCUGUUAUGCGUAUCGACCCGCGUAGUAGCGAAGCUAACGCGUUAAGCAUCCCGCCUGUGGAGUACGAGCGCAAGCUUAAAACAUAAAGGAAUUGACGGGGACCCGCACAAGCGGUGGAGCGUGUUCUUUAAUUCGAUGGUAAGCGAAGAACCUUACCAGGGUUUGACAUCCUGCGAAGGUCUCCGAAAGGAGACUGUGCCUUGUGAGCGCAGUGACAGGUGUUGCAUGGCCGUCGACAGCU
rnacentral:rRNA from 1 species